ensembl:lncRNA
CUCUAGAGUAACUCUGUUUCUAGGGACAAUCAAGCACAGGAAGGCGCUCAGGAGGCUGCCGAAGUGCUCAUGCCCAGAAUCCCACCUGAGAGUGUGAAACAUCACCUGAGCUGUUAGGACCUGCUGGAGCAUUCCCUCUCGUGUUGGCCAGUGACCCAUAUGGAGCAGCAUGUUGCUGCUGAAUGGUGGCAGCUGCACCCACUGCAAUUCCCAGGCCUGGCACCCAUUCUCACAGUUGAGAUGUUGGCAAGUGAGGGAGGUGACAGGGCUCAGCCCCUGCCUCCUCCUGUUCUGGCUUGUGCAUCACAAUCCAUGCUGGCUACAGUGCCCUGGCAAGGCAGGUGUCCUGCUCUUGCUGCACACAACCAGAGGAAGUUCCCAAUGGGAAUCAGUCCCCACUCCUGCACUGCAAGCACAGCACUGUGAACCUUUUGGGGUGACAUUUGGCAAAAACAGAAGUGGAGGCUGAAUCUGCUCUGAAAGCCACAGUGUAGUUGCAAGCUUGGUCUGGCAAGGGGAUUUCCUGCACUUGCACAUCCCAUCCUAGCACAGGAGGUCUGACUGGAGAAAGCUGUGGGAUCCCAUUCUGAUAGAGAACCACACUGUCUGUAAAGCUGCUCACCUACCUCUGCCAAAAUGAGAAUCCUGAGCCUAAGCAUUGCAGGAAGCCUCAAGAACACAGAAUAAAUCCAACCUCACAAUUCACUGGAAUUAAGAGGUGGAGUGUUUCCUACAGGUUUUAUGUCUGGUAUGAUUUAUUAUUUAAUUUAAACACAUAAUUUCCAGCAGUUUCGUUUUGCAAGCAAUCACCUGGGCUAUGUUAACCUGAUAGUGACGUACUGCUGUCCUGGGGUGCCCUGGGAGAGAGAGAGCAAGAGCAUAGCACUCAGAGGUGUGAUCUUCCCCUGUUUAUCUUGAUGGGGUGCACACAACCUUGGCAGAGAAGCGAGUCCAAACAACUUAACCAUGUCACUGCCAGAUGCUGCUGUUGAAAGGGCUGGUGGUACAGCAGUAUGAGCUGUAUGGGCCAUGUCAUUUCUCCACUCAGAUCCUUCCAGCACCAAGGGGUGCAGGUUGUCUGGCAAGGAUUCAUGGUUAUGCCUGCUAAAGACUCCUGGAACAUCACAGAGCAGGUUACAGCCAACCCUGCAGGAGAGCAGAGACCACAGCCUUUAGUGGGACACGAGCUAGAAACUGGGCAGCUCCCUUUACAUUCAGAGCUCAUCUGGCUGGCUGUCAGCAGAGUCUUGCAGAGCACAGUGCUGAGCCUCUUGUGCCAGUUUGGAGACUCCCUUUUGCACCCAGAAGUGUGCCUGCAAAAGCCCCUGAAGAUGGCAGAUGCUACAGAGGAGUGGUCCUUUCCUCCGAUCACAGCUUGCUGCAGCACGGUGGGUGUUGCAGCAGCUCCUUUUCAUGCAAGGCCACCUGAGCAAGGUUUCUUUGGGGCCCUGGGGAUAUUUAAGCUUUAACACAAAACUGUUGCUUAAGGCUUUUAGGACCUUUUAAUGCCCAAAGCGGGAGGUGUGAGGCUGUUCUCAGGCUGUCACACAUCACAAGAUACAGCCCCUAUACCUCUGUGUGUCACCUUAUUCCUGUGAGCUAGGGGCAAACACCUCUUCCAACAGGAGAGGUGUCUGAAACAGCCUUUCCAUUACAUUUAUAUUUAAAGACCUAACAGUGACUGAAGCACUUUGCAUAAUAAACGCAUCUAAAUACAGAAAUAUUUGCCUGCUCUCAGUAUAAAAGGAAGUCCUCAGAUCCUCUUCUGAAGACUGCAAGAAAGCGACAGAGUUUUCCCUCUACGGGAUAUAAAUAUGCAGUGCAAAUAGGUGGCUGCUGUCUCUGCUUACGUGUUGAUGCAUCUCUUCAGAUAGCCUGGCAGAGCUGGAUUAUUUUAGCAUCAAAUCAAAGCUCAGGAUGUGUAAAGAAGCUGAGGAAAGGUACAGUCUGUGUUGCAGCACAGGAUGGUAGCUGCAAGAAGAUUGGAAGCAGUCCUGUGAGACACGCACCAGCCACGCAUACUAAAGCUGCCAUUUAGUGCAUCGAAAAGGAUCUCAGUUCAGCAGGGCUGCUGCAGAACAGAAGCAGAUGCCUUCAGAUUCAGGUUGGGGCAGGGGAUUGCUCUCAUAGGAAGGCGUGUGAUUCAUCCUCACAUUAGCUGAAAGAAGAUACAGCUUUUGUUUCCUUUUUAGUUUCCAUUUCCUCAUGAGAGAAAAAUAAAAGGCCUGUUUACACUGGAAGAAGAACCGCAAUGGCUGAUCCCCCUUUUUAAAGCAGAAAGCUCUCAUAUGCAGUGCAGCCUUGCUGUCCUUGACUUUCACGUCGGCCCAAAUCCAUCUGAUCUGCAUCCCCCUCAGCGCCAGCUGCCUGUGGAUGCAGGGCAUGUGUACAGCACUUCGCACAGUGCAGUCUCUGCAGGGUUGCUGCAGCCUCUGCAUUCCAGCCCGACACGAUCGCACAGACAAGCAGCGGAAGGUGGGUCGCACGCUCAGGCUCCCUGCAGGCCAGCUGUGCGCAGCGAGCACGGCUCAUUUCCUGCCCAAGGGAUCCGGCAGCAGCAGCGUUUCGAGACACUUAAAAUCAGACUGUGCCUCAGAGCGUUUGUGAGGGGUCUGUGGGAGCGUGGCUCAGCGCAGUUCAAGAUCCUCCCGCAGAGAGCCCAUGUAAGGGAGCAGCCGCUCAGAGCACAGCGGUGUGCCCUGAGGGGAGAUGAACUACAAGGGGGUAGCCCAGCCUGGGCUGCGCUGCACUGACUAGGCUGGCAGAAACACGGCCCUAACCACUUCCCAGCACCACAGCACCACAGGGGAUGUGAGGAGGCCGAAUCGACCCCCAGCACCUGCACCGCUCCUCGUGUGCCCCCUGCUCCACAGCUCAACCACGCUUGCCUAGGCUGGGAAAGACCUGCUAGGCCCCAGCGGCAGCCAAGGAAAUCCAGCUGCCUGCCUGUACAGCAGCAGCUCCCGUGAAG